UCUGUCCACUCUGCAGAGUGAACGUUGAGGAUUUAGCACACAAAUGUCCAUAGAGCAUUUGGAAACAAGCAAUGAGAGCAGAGGUAUCCGGUGUAUCCCAACCACCCUCCUGCGGAUCCCCGCGCCUCCCCUGCGCAUCCCACGCGCAUCCCACGCGGGCAGCAGCACACAGGAGACCACGGGCUAAGCCUGAACCACAGGCAAACUCACCAGGCACGCCCCAUGGCCUGUGCUCGUGCCCUCAGGUGGUGACGAAAGGUAGGGGAAGCUCAGGCCGGGGAAGGUGUGGGGGGUGAGUGCUUCCUGCAGAAGCCCCUCCGGACUGCAGCACAGGUGGUCCCACCUGGUUGUAGGGCAGGUCACCCACUUCGGUGGCAGGGGACACAGCCAGUGGGGGGUUGCACACCUUUAACCCUUAGUGAGAUGGAGAAGUAAUUCAUGGCCUAUCAAUCUUUUGACAAUUAAAUUAGAUGAGUACUUGGAAAGAUGCCUUUAUUUUCCCUUCCUCCCCCGCCGCCUCCCUUUUAUGGCAGCAUUAAAACACUUUUCAUUUUAAAGCCUGGCCAGCAGGCAGUAGAUUCCAAGGCUCUGGUUAACUAGGAAUGCUUUGCUACAUUGAAAGGAAAGUUCAAAACCAAGCCCAAACUCCCUGCCCUCUUGUCUCUGAGGAUGGACGAGAGCGACGGGGCUGGCUGGGACACAUCCAUAGGUGGCUGCGCACCUAGACGGUCCUGCUGAAGGAAGGCAAGGCACACAGAUCUCCAGCAGCCGCUGCCCCAACUCCAUCCACAGGGUUAUUUCUAGGCUCCCACAUUCCAAGGACAUCCAAAACGCAGAGGAUGCACAUCGUUCUGCAGUGUCUGGGGUCACCUCACAGCCACCCUCUUUGUGACCACUGAAGCCCAUUCACCAGGACUGUCUUUCUAAACUCCCUCCCAGGGCCUGCCUGGCUGUCCUCUGGGCACAGCUGGGCCACCAUCAUUAGAGUAAACCUCAACUCCAAUGCAAAUACUAAAAUCCUUGGGAAGACCUGGCUACAGAAAAAGAGCCCUAGAAACAAAAAUGAUGAAAUAGAAAGCACUUCUGUGGACAGCAACUUCUGGAUCAAGUUCUGGCCUCUAAGGUUAUGGUCCCACCCUCUACUAAGGCAGGGUCUAUCUAGUUCAACCCUUGCAUGCACUAACACCUCCCCUCCCACAUCAAGAAACAAUGCCAAAGGUCUCAAAACUUUGUGCUCACGACUAAUACUGAGGCCUCAGGAAGGCAACAAAUACGGGAGAAAAUGAGCAAAGGGGCGACUCUGAAUAGUAUUACCCUGAGACACAGAAGGGAAAAAAGUUCAGAUUCGUACCUUUCCAAAAAAACCUUGGUAAGGAUUCUUCCCCCCAGAUAGCUCUCACGGGGGUAGAGGGAAUACUGGCAAAGGUUGAAAGUGGCAGUUUGCAUGUUUUUAACCCUCUCCAUUUUCUAAGAAGAAAACACAGUCAAUACAUUUGAUUGUCUUGAAAAUGAAGCCAACCGAUGAGAGCAUUUAAAGUGCACAUGUCACCUAACGACAACGACUGAGAUGACUGGAAUUGAGAGAAGACGCAGUCUCCUUCCAGGAAGCUCACUCGAUUCUGGAAAUCUGGGGGCUCUGGAUAGGAACUCCAUCUUUCCCCCAAAACUUAAGCACAGUUUCAGGCACGUGAUUUCUUUAGCUUGAUGGAGAACAUGGUGUCCCGGCAUGGAAACAGUAUGGGGAAUGCAGUCCGAGUCACCCCAAAAAACAACCCCUUCUCAUGUGAUAGAAACCAAGACAGGCCAUUAGAUCCAGCAGCUAGAGCACUGUCAAGGCCAUGAGCAAAAGCACAGGCAGCCACCAUCCCAGGUAAAUCCCCAGGACAGGAACAAAUCCCCCUGAGGACAACUUCCAAGGAGGAAGAGAGAUGACAAAGGUAUGUAAGCACAGUUCUUGGUAAGCAGUUCUCUUUCUGCACUGCAGACUGUAUUCCUGGAUGAAGUUGGGUGGUUUGAGGGAAUUCCGGGCACUACUUUGAUUUUAAACUUGUCCAACCAGAACCUGACCAAAUCGUUUUGAGUGGGGUCUGGGCAGAUGUGAAAUCUCUAUUUUUAAAAAAGACCACCAAAACAACCAAAGCAGAUGAAACAUCACAGCUGGGCGGGGAGUAAGAGACACUCUAACAUUGAUGUCAAGCUCUGUGGCGACGUGCUCUAACUUCAGCAUCCACGGUGUUUUUGUGAAGAGCAUGUACGCAAGUAAAUCCAAUCAGCACCAACCUCGUAUUGUUCCAAACCCGGAGAACAGGGGCACCCGGCCUACAUUUACAAGGAGAAGAAUGCAGGUUCAGUACUGCCCUCCUGCAAAUCCCAGGAGGGGAACUCGGAGCCAGUGACCAGAACAGACAGCCAAGCCCCGGGCAGAUCUCAGGAAAGUCACGACAGAUUCAGCUGUAACUUGGAGUUGUACAGAUAGGUGAAAGAAAGAAACUUAACUUUUUGUUUAGGGUCUUUGCAAGGGGACAUAUUUUCAAUAGAAAAAUCAGCAGGUUUUGGCCUUUGGUCUGUUUCUGAAGGGUGAGUAUUCUCCAUGACAGAAAAAGGCAAAGGUAGGUCAGAGGUGGCGAGUUUCUUCAUUCUCAAACAAGGGAGAAGACAUCCUUUGAUUAAAGAAUGAGGCGGGGUGGGGGAGGGAAGGACAUGGACCCCCUCCCUUUAAAAUUUCAUCUGGGCCUUCAAGGCACUUCAAAAGACACAGAGUGAACAGUGCUGGAUGCCACUUCACUCGGUAUUGACUGGAUAGUUUAGACUGUUGGGCUAGACCUGGCUCACCCUUAAGAAAGAAAAACAAACACAAACACACAAAUACAAUAAAUAAAACAAAUCUAGGCUACAAAUUUUAAACCAGACCUCUUUCAAAUAAACUGAAAGAUAAAUAUCUCCAUCUGCAAGGCCAGCUUGCAAUUCAUCAAUAAGCACCAAGUUAGUUACAGAUUUUUCUUAAGUGUGCUCAAAAGCCCCACGCUUCUGAGGGGCAAAAAAGGAAGAAUUGAAGGCCUCGUUGGAAGCACAAAAUUUUCCAGGGCCUCCCUUCUGGUGUACGGGGCCUCAGAGGGCAACAUUACCAUGAACUGUCCUGCACACACCAGCUGGGGAAAGCCUCAAGUGAACAAAGAUGAAAACACAGUGGGAAAAGCAAAAGCAAAGCCGAGCAGCAGGCAGCCAUCUGUAUCUGCUUCCAGGGGCAGAGUACAAUUCAACAACAGACCUUUAGAUAUACUUUUGAAGAAAUCCAAUUUUGCCAAGGCCUCCUAACAUAAGAAGGGCGCUUUCACAACCACGCCUUCCAGGCCAGCUCCUCUCCAGAUCUGCACUGGCAGGAACUGCUACACAUGGCUUCACCCUUCGCCUGAACCCACUUCUCAGCCAGCUGUCCUAGCUUCAGAGCACAGCUUCUGCCUGGCCUGGGUGCGAGGCUGACCCCUGGCAGUGGUGUGCCCUCACCCAGCAAGGGCCAGACAGCUGCUGUCUGGGAGAGGCACGACGGGGGCUCAGGAACACAGCCAGGAGGCCGUGGCCCCUUCUGAGUGGUCAGUGACAAUCAAAAGGUGUCACGCUGCAGGGAUAAUGGUGAGUAGGCCUCUUCACUUUAUCCAUGCCCAAAACGUGGGUAAACAUGCUGGAAAACCAGGAUAUUUCUUCUGGAUUUGAUGACAAAAUAAGAUACUAUGGGUUGUUUUGUUGCUUUAGUGCCUGAAACACCGAGAUCGAGGUGGUGCACAUCACGUCUUUUAUAUACAUCAAGCCUUCUCUCACUGGUUUCACAAAUGUUUGUCAUCCCUAAGAUGAAAUGAGAAAUACAUGCAAAACAGGGGUGGUAUGUGCCCGGGAUGGGUUUAGAGGGAAACCAGUCUCUGAGGAGUACUGGGUGAACUGCUGAUAUGCGGGGGCUCCGGGUCUGUCCAGGCACUGCCCUUGUGCUGAGCUAAGUUGACCAGACGCCUGGUGCAGACUGGGCCGCCUUUUGGCAUUCCCCGUGUGUAUAUGCAGACAGGUCCCCAUGUACGUACACAGAUCAAGUCCAAAACAUCUGCUGUUUGGUUUUGUGUUCCCCCAAAUAAAAGGCAGUCGGAGGUUCAGACCUUACUUGGAUACACUCUUUCAGCCUUUAGGAAUUCCUGACGUGUCCAAAACCAUCACCUGUACUUACGAGGCCAUUACUUUCAGUGUAAUCCUGAGUAGGGCCAGCCCAACCUGAGAGUCCUGGGCAGUCACAAAUCAUGGCCGAAGCAGAGUCUGGGCCUCCUUCCCCACCCGACACUCAAUAUCAUCUGUUGCUUAUUGUCCAGGACCUGGGGCCGCCCAGGAGGACUGGACGCUGAGGAGCAGUGGGCGUCCAGUGUAAGAGACUUGUGCACACGGGGACAGCAGGAGAGGUGGGCUGGCCAGGAUCAGGAGGCAGCUGCCUCAGCAGAGAGGAAGAGGGUCAGCAGAAGAUCUCUUCACCCUCUGCUGAUACUUCUGACGCGGGACCAUCUGGAAAUGUGAAAACCAAGAAUGAAAAAAAUUCAGCAAAACUGCUCCUUUCAUUGAACUUCC
rnacentral:lncRNA from 1 species